rnacentral:piRNA from 1 species
UUUUCCUUGACGGUCGUGGUUCAGU